CGCUCGCCUUGUGGAGUCUUCGCGGUGGAAGCACACAGGCUCAGGGUUCCCUUGGAUACAGUAACAACACUCACCCUGGAAGACCAGCGCGGCUCGCUGUAGCGAGACAUCCCUCCCAGGUCCCAGGGGAGAGAGGCCCCCAAACGCUUGAAUCUGAAGAUAAGGCAGGUCGGUGAGCAUUGGUGACCUUUCUCACGCCAACCGGUUUCUCUCAGGAUGCUACAGAGAGGGAAUAUCCAAAAAUCACCGGAGGAGCAUUCUCUUCACUCUGGCGACCACGGACCCAUCUCUGCACAGGGCUUCCGAUGCUGUUUACUGGAGAGGUCUGGUUCUGCUGGUGGUCACGAGUCUCCAAGGAGCCUCCAGAGGUCUGCUGGGGAGGAUGGGAAAUCUGACGGUCGUCGGCAGAGGGGGAACGCAAAAGGAAGAGUAGAGCCACACCGAAAGCUAAGCAGAUCAUCUGCUCUCGGUGGUCAGAGGGGCAGAGUGCAGAGAGAACAAGAUGACUUCACUGCAAGCGACAGCCAAGGUAGAAGAGGGCCACCUGUACCCAUGCCUUCACACAUCACCACACUAUCUCCUUCCAAGCUUGUCCUGUUCAUAUCCAUCCUAUUCUCUCCAAAUUAUCAAAAGGCUGGUGGGGAGUAAAUUGACACAGUUCCUGUAAACGCUGUAGUAAAUGGAGUGCCAAAUGUCCUUGGUUACUUGGAAGAUACGAUCUAGGAGCGGGAAGGGGGGGGCACAUGGACCUCAGCUGUCUUACACGGGGGUGGUUCAAUGCAUUGACUCAUCCCACCUGUCUUUUUCCUCACAAAGCAUCUGUGGGAGACUUUGUGGCUCAGGCGACAUAAAAUUAUGACAGAGGGUUUAAAGCGUCAGACUGAGCUUUUACACGAAGCUGCCUCAGACCGAGCUUUUACACGAGGGUGCCUCAGACUGAGCUUUUACACGAAGCUGCCUCAGACCGAGCUUUUACACGAGGCCACCUCAGAUUGAGCUUUUACAUGAGGCUGUCUCCAGGUAUUUUUAGCUCUUCCAUUCACUCUCUUCGCUCUGGUCUGACAUACCACUAAACACACCAUAAACGCACCAUGAACAUUAAGUUCAAAGCAAGUUACGGGGGUUAGAAAUUGAACUGAACUGUGGCCUUGGUCUGACUCAGCCUCCCGUGACGGACAGCCACCCCCCACCUGUUCAUAAUUGGCGUGACCUGCUGACUCCCUGUGCCCAGUAACCCAGACCACACCCUCCAAGUGGCUCCAACAGCACUUUCAGGCCGACGUCUCUUAUUAGUCCUUUUUCCCAGACUCAGUGCCAGAGUUUCUUCUUUUUUGACCUCUGAAACCGACCCCCCACCUCCACCCCCAUGUAAGACCUUAAAAGGAAAACCCCAUCUCCAAAUAUUCAUUCCCCGUGUCUACUCAAUCUGCCAGUCAUGCCGACUGGCAUGAUUCUCAUACCUGGGUACGUCUGUAAGGGCACUGCCUUUGCAGGAGGCUGCAGGAGGGGGUGCUGUUUCUCAGUCUAGCCUUUUGAAAGGGCCACUUAACCAGAGAGCUUUCCUAUGUAAGAUGGGCUUGUCCACAGUUAUACAGAAUAACUGGUAUAAGUGUGCCGAGAGCUGGGAGGGAGCAGAACUGUGGACAGUCCUGGAGGACUGGCUUGAGAAACACUGGGCUAAAAGAUACAAGCUUUCCCAGCAAGAGCUUUUUAUCUGAGGGAUUCUGCAGGUUGGCGCCCCCUGCAGGCAUUUCCCCAUUGAGCUGAAGUCCAGCUUCACCGGUUACAGGCCUUGUGGUGGAGCUGAGCAGCUGCUGGGACGUUACCCACAGAUACCCCACCGUGUAAAAGCCCUCAGCGUGGCCAGGCUUUGGUCCUAGUGCUGUGUGUCUAUUCAUAAAACACGAGUCCUUCAUAUGUAAGCAUUUAUCAGCUAAUCUGACUAUUCCCACGUGCAGACCAGCUUACAUAUUACAUGUUGACUGUUUACUUGCAGUGUAUAUGACAAUAUUACAUCUUGAAUCUAUUACUGGCCUGAGUGAUAUAGCAUACUACUUUAUCCAUCCAUUUUCUGUAACCGCUUGUCCUGUUCAAGGUUGCGGGGGGUGUGGAGCCUAUAGGCAUAAGGCAGGGAACAGCCCAGGACGGGGUGCCAACCCAUGGCAGGAUGCCAACCCAUGGCAGGGCACACACACACAGCACUCACUCACAAAGCACUCACUCACACAGCACUCACUCACACAGGCUCACCUACGGGAAAUUUGGGAACUCCAAUUAGCCUCAGCAUGUCUUUGCACUGUGGAGGGAAACCGGAGCACCCAGAGGAAACCCCACGAAGACACAGGGAGAACCCUAACCCUAACCCUAACCCUAACCCUAACUCCACACACACGGAACCCAGGUGUCCCAGUGGUGUGAGGCCAUAGUGCUAACCACUGCACCACCCACAGUAUAUUCUUUUUUUGUUCACUAUUGAAGUAAUUAUUUAUGUGUUUAAGGGAGUUUCUUCUGUGGUUUUCUGGUUCGCUUUCCGAAAUCCAGUCCGAGAAUCUCAGCUCUCAAACAUUAACUGGUCUUUGAGUCCUAUGACAGAAUCAGACAUUAACGCUGAUUAACACCAGGCACCAUGGAGGUGUCACGUCUCUCCACAGACCACAGCAGAGCCGUCAACUCUGGCAGAGAGCAGCAGGAGGAAGGAGUCUUGGCGGGAUAUGGAGGACGUGGGGUUUACUGCCUGAGGUCCUCCUCCCAGGCGAUCCUGCACCUUUAUCUGCCUACACUGCCUCACGAUGAAGAGGAGACCAUGACAGUCAAGGAACAGGAAAGGGAUCCCUCAUCCGGUCAGGUCAGACAGAGACUGAGCAUAGGCAGUGAGCAGAACAGCACGCACAUGGAAAUCGGUGAGUUACAAGAGUGUUAAUAAAUCAGUAACAGUACAAACAUCCCCAAGAGAAGAAGGUUAAGGCACACAGUUAAAAAAACAUGCCAAAGGCACAGAUCAGCGAUGCUGAGCAAACACUGAGUGCGGAGCAGGUGGCCGUUAUCAGCUACUUGAGGAACCAGGAAGUUCAGUCAGAUAGGGCAAGGGCAUCAGCAAGCUGUGAUUGGCCGACAACAGAGCAUCACAUGGACAGACAUCUAACUCCAGACACCCUUGGAUUUCUGGCCGAUAUCUGAAACUCAUUUGAAUGGCUGAAGUUAUCUACCUCUCUGGGGUAGGGGUUUGGAGCAUUAAAGGCAAUUAAAUGAAAAUCAAAACCAAAUGUCUCAGAGACAGUCAGCCCGAAGAGGAAGAGACCACGGAAGUAAUCUUUCAUUUGUGAAUUUUUCCUCAAACCAAGUCAGGCGAGCGUUCAGAAAGGAACGCAUCCUGUGAUAUGCAGCUCGUCGCGCUUCCCUCCAUUCUGCUGUCAUCGGAGAGAUGAGAUCUCAAAAGCAAUUUCACGCAUCAGAUUCAUUUGACUCGCACCGUAGGCAAGAGAAGGGCUUCAGCAUUGUUUUCUUAACACCCAUGGCUUUGUUUUGGUUACAUAAACGCAUCACAGCACCUGCCCAGCGGGGAAAAAGCUGCAAGAAUGCGUUCAACAUGCAGCAUGCUCCAAGUCACAUUUGUGGUUUCCACAGUCCUUCCAGAAAACACAAAUGGCCCCUGAACACAAGCCUCCGGGGUGGGGGCCAUCGCUGCUGGGAGAGUUUUCUCCAGAUCAGCCUAGAGAAGUUCCGUUGUUUAUGUCUUUGUAGCCUGUCCUUACCGGUGGUACAGGACAGAUUUGAUGUGUCCUGCUGCAGAGUAGUGCAUUCGGCUGUCCCCACGUCAACAGGGCCGCUCCUGGCACCCUGUGACGAUAAAGUCAAGUGAGGUAUCACCUCCUUCCCCAUGGACUGAAACUCCCCAGGAGGAGGAAGCCCCAUGGGGGCCAUGGCAGGGGACAGGGGGCCACCAAUGGGAUGGAGGACCGUUUUCAGACAAAGAGCACCAAGAACACUGAUAGGAGUCUUCUCCCGCAGUCCAACAGGAACGGACCAAGGCCUUCACUAUGGGUCAGCCGUGGCCUGAACACCAGGUGCUCUGGGAUCUGUGAGAGGCCUGUAAUACAAAAGCAAGCAACAUUUUAUUGGGUCGUGCAGAAGAUGAUAGAGGAAUGAAGAGUCACGGAUGGCCUAUAGACAGUUGCUGGCUUCUCAUGAAGUCAGAAAAUCUCCGAACAUCAUGGCCUGGGAAACACGUGCAUCCCAAGAGCUGAUGGGAACCUCCCUGAGAUCAGAUGACAUGAGAUGAGAAGAGAUUAGAUGAGAUGAGAUUCGGUUGAUCCCAUAUGAUC